rnacentral:rRNA from 1 species
UACGGAGGGAGCUAGCGUUGUUCGGAAUUACUGGGCGUAAAGCGCGCGUAGGUGGCCCCAUAAGUCCGCUGUGAAAGUCAAAGGCUCAACCUUUGAAAGCCGGUGGAUACUGUGGGACUAGAGUACGGAAGAGGCGAGUGGAAUUCCUGGUGUAGCGGUGGAAUGCGCAGAUAUCAGGAGGAACACCGGUGGCGAAGGCGGUUCUCUGGGCCGAUACUGACGCUGAGGAGCGAAAGCGUGGGGAGCGAACAGG